rnacentral:siRNA from 1 species
UUUGAAUGUGCCUUGAACCA